rnacentral:lncRNA from 1 species
AGAGAGAGAGAGAGAGAGAGAGAGAGAGAGAGAUACAAAUCUUAGAAUAGAUGCAUUAAUUUUCGGACGCGUUUACUUCGCACUAUGAAAUAUUACUAGAAGUAAUUAAAAAAAUACUCGAGAAUUUUAUUCUUAUUCAUUCUGUUACUAGUAUUUCGGUGUUUGGUUCGUACGGUCAUAUUAUUUAGUCAUAUUAUUUAAGAUUACGAAAAAUAUACAAUUAAUUAAUUAAUUAAUUUAAUAAAUUUUAAAUAAUACUAUAAAAAAUUUCGACAUCUUUUUAGAAAAAAGAGAGAGAGAAUAUAGGUUAGAAAGAGAGAGCAUAAUUAAAAAAAAAAUGAAGAAAAAUAGAGUCGAGAUUAGAGAGAAUGAGAGGGUUGAGAUUUUAGAAAAAGAGGGGGAGAAAUAGCUUAGUUCAGAGAGAGAAAAAGAAUUGAAGUUUAGAGAGAAAAAGAUAAGUUUAGAGAGAGAUACGAGGUUAGAGUGUAAAAAAAAAUAAUACCAACUUGCCGGCGGAUGGAAAGAAAGAAAGAUAUUAGACAUAUUAUAAUUUCCACAAUCCAUUAAUAUAAGGAUACCCACCAUCUCUCAAAGAAAUAAGAUUAGUAUUUUGGGAUGCAUCUCAUUCCUAAGUAAAUCCAGUAUUAUCAACUAGAUUACUUAGUGCGUUUAGCCAAACACCGUCAUAUUUUUUUAUUUUUAUUGGAUUACUAAAAAUCUUAAAAAGAUAGAGCGAACCAAACGCACCCUUACCGUGAUACAAUAAUUAAUUAAUUAGUAAUAUUUCUUUUCCCUUUAACU